rnacentral:sRNA from 1 species
AAUCUGCUGCGGGCAGAUAAAGUGAAUGUGCGCGUCAAUACCACCGGCGGUAAGGAUCAUGCCUUCGCCGGCAAUAAUUUCGGUACAGGGCCCGAUAAUGAUGUCGAUACCGGGUUGAAUGUCCGGGUUACCCGCUUUGCCGAUGGCCUGAAUGUUGCCAUCCUUGAGCGCCACGUCGGCCUUGAUUACACCCCACCAAUCGAGAAUCAGGGCAUUGGUAAUAACCGUAUCCGGGGUAUCCGUGCGGGUACGCUGGCUCUGGCCCAUGCCAUCAC